rnacentral:rRNA from 1 species
AUUGAACGCUGGCGGCAGGCCUAACACAUGCAAGUCGAACGAGUGGCGGACGGGUGAGUAAUGUCUGGGAAACUGCCCGAUGGAGGGGGAUAACUACUGGAAACGGUAGCUAAUACCGCAUACCAUCGGAUGUGCCCAGAUGGGAUUAGCAUGUAGGUUGGGUAACGGCUCACCUAGUCGACGAUCCCUAGCUGAUCUGAGAGGAUGACCAGCAACACUGGAACGGAGAACCGGUCCAGACUCCUACGGGAGGAAGCAGUGGGGAAUAUUGCACAAUGGGCGCAAGCCUGAUGCAGACAUGCCGCGUGUAUGAAGAAGGCCUUAGGGUUGUAAAGUACUUUCAGCGAGGAGGCGUUACUCGCAGAAGAAGCACCGGCUAACUCCGUGCCAGCAGCCGCGGUAAUUC